GGGGUAAAAAUUAAUAAUUAAAAUUAUAAUAAAAAAAUUUUUAAAAUUAUAUUUUAAUGGGGGUUAAAGUAUAUUUUAUAGAAAUAAUUAUAAAUUUUAUAGGGAAUUAGUAUUGUGAAAGAAUUUUGAAAUAUUAUGAAAAUUAAUUUAUUAAAAAGUAAAUUUUAUUUAUUGUAUCUUGUGUAUCAGAGUUUAUUAAAAAUAAUUUUUAAUAAAAAAAUUCUCGAAUUUAAAAGAGAUAAUUAAUUAUAAAAGUUAUUGUAGCAAAAAUAUUUUUAAUAAUUAAUUUGAAAUGAAAUGUUAAUCGUUUUUAAAUAUAUCUAGUUUUUUUAGAAAUGAAUUUAAUUUAGAAUUUGUAUAAAAAAAAAUUAAAUAUUUAAUUUUUUUUUUAUACAAAUUUAAUAUUUUAGGGGAUAAGCUUUAAAUUAAAUAAUUAUAAUAAUUACUACAAAAAUUAUUAAAUUUUUUAAAAUUUAUAUUGUUUAUAAAUUAUAUUUUUUUAUAAAAAAAUUUAUUUUAAAAAUAAUUUUAUUAAAUGUUUAAUUUUUUAUAAAAAAAUAUUUUUUAAUAAAUAAAAAAUAGUUAUAAUGAUAAAAUUAGUAUAAAAAAUGUUAUAGUUAAUUAUAUUUAUAAAUAUAAAUAUAAAUUAAUAAAAAUAAUAAAUAUAUAAAAUAUAUUUUUUUUAAAAGUAAUUAAAAGGAAUUCGGCAAAUAUUCAUAUUCACUUGUUUAACAAAAACAUGUCUUUUUGAUAAUAAUUUAAAGUCGAAUCUGCCCACUGAUAAAUUUAUUAAAGGGCUGCAGUAUAUUGACUGUACAAAGGUAGCAUAAUCAUUAGUCUUUUAAUUGGAGACUUGUAUGAAAGAUUUGAUGAGAUAUGAACUGUCUCUUAGUUAAAUUUAGAAUUUAAUUUUUUAGUUAAAAAGCUAAAAUAAGUUUAAAAGACGAGAAGACCCUAUAGAGUUUUAUAAUUGAAAAAAUUUUAGUUUUAUAUAAAUUUUUAAAUAAAAAUUUUUUUAAUUAUUUUGUUGGGGUGAUAGAAAAAUUAAAAAAACUUUUUUUUGUAGUUAUUAACAUAAAUAAGUGAAUAAAUGAUCCAUAAUUUAUGAUUAAAAGAAUAAAUUACCUUAGGGAUAACAGCGUAAUUUUUUUUUUUAGUUCAAAUAAAAAAAAAAGUUUGCGACCUCGAUGUUGGAUUAAGAUAAAAUUUAAAUGCAGAAGUUUAAAAUUUUGAUCUGUUCGAUCAUUAAAAUCUUACAUGAUCUGAGUUCAAACCGGUGUAAGCGAGGUUGGUUUCUAUCUUUAGAAAAUUAAAAUAUUUUAGUACGAAAGGAUUAAAUAUUUGAAAUAAUUUUAUUAUAAGAAUUUUAUUAAUUUAUAUUAGAUGUAUUUAAGUCAAUAAA
rnacentral:rRNA from 1 species